UACAAUUAUUUUAGGUUAUGGCGCGAAAUACAAGUUCUGAAGUUUGUCAUUUGUCUCUGUUGAGUACUUGGCUGCUAUGAACUGAUCGUUGGCAUUGGCAUAGAACAUUUAUUUAUUAGUCGUUAGUAAUUCGCUAGUUCAUUUCUCAAAAUGCCUGUUAUAUGCAAAUUUUGUCAAAAAGUCUUCAGCAAUCAAUCUAACCACAAUCGACAUAUUAACGAAGUGCAUAAUGUAGUUGCAGAGCUUAAACAUUUACCCUAAUAUCUUAUGAAAGGAAUACUGUUUGGAGUAGCCAUUGUCUGGAACCAAACUGCAAUAGAUCGUUUUCUAACAACAAAAAUCUAAUGCAACAUUUACAUAAUGACCACUCAAUGAACUUAGUGACAGAGUCUUAUAUAUUCAAGAAUACUAAUGAUUUUGAGAACUGGAAGACAAACAUUGAAGUUACCAAUGGUUGUUAUAUUCUAAAAAGUAAAUAUGCUAG